rnacentral:lncRNA from 1 species
CUCCUACUUCUCUUAUUCAGUUUAUUGUCAAUUCUGAAUGGCCAAAAGUAAACGCUACUUUUAAAUCAACCAAUCUCAUACAGAUCUCGAUGUGAGAUAUGAAAACUACUUCAGCUUAAUGACUCCAAAAUUUUCACAAGAUUAUGAACUAGCCAUUGAAAAAUGGACCAAGUAAUUAACCUAAGUAAAUCAAUACAUACUUAUCGCGGUAUCAGCAGGCAAGGGAGGCUGUAAGGCAAUAGCGAGUGGCAGGGACUGGGAGUAGAACUGGCACUGGGAGAUUUAAAUGAUUGAGACUCUCCAUUGUGCCUUGCUUAGCGAAGCCGAAAUAUGAUGGUGAUUAUGUAGGUGGCGUGUAUUGGAAUGGAAACUGGAGGAGCGAGCAAGGAAGAGGACGACAGCGC